rnacentral:rRNA from 1 species
GGAUUCCCCUAGUAACGGCGAGUGAAGAGGGAUCAGCCCAGCACCGAAGCCUGUGGUUGUUUGACUACUAGGCAAUGUGGUGUUUAGGUUUGUUCUUGGCAUUACUGCCCUGCCCCAAGUCCAGCAAUGAGUACGGCUUACUGGUCUGGCCCAGAGAGGGUGAAAGGCCCGUGGGGGUAGGGAUCAUGUGUGUCAGUUUUGCUCUGAACUAACCUUGGAGUCGGGUUGUUUGUGAAUGCAGCCCAAAGUGGGUGGUAAACUCCAUCCAAGGCUAAAUACUAACACGAGUCCGAUAGCAAACAAGUACCGUGAGGGAAAGUUGAAAAGUACUUUGAAGAGAGAGUAAACAGUGCGUGAAACUGCUCAGAGGUAAACGGGUGGAGUUGAACUGCAAACCCUGGGGAUUCAGCUGGCGAGCAUGAUUUGCGCUCAGGCAUAUUGGCCAGCCUUCAGUGUCUGUCUAUUGGCAGAUGCCCUCCCUUUAUGGGUUGGCAUGUGUGGUACACUUAUCAUGUGUUGCACGCAUUGGAGGUGAGGGGUUGGCUUGUCAGUGCACUUUCUCAGGGUGUUCACCACGACCGUCACUGCUGUCUGUCUGCUUUGGUCAAACUGAUCAGGUCUGGUUUUACUGGGCUUGGUUGGGACGGCAGGUAGCUCAUUGGUUCAUUUAUGGACUAUGAGUUUAAUUAGCUGGCCAUUGUGGAUCUGUACAGUGUGUCGGAGAUAACGACUACGCAUACGUGCUUUGUCCUUCGGGCGAGGUUGAGUCCGGUCGGCUUGUUGCUAGCUUCGGUUGGUCUGUCGAUGGCUUGAUCUUGUUCAGUUGGCGGUUGCGUGUGUGUCUAGGUUUGGGCCUAUAGUCUGUGGUGUAGUGGUAGACGAUCCACCCGACCCGUCUUGAAACACGGACCAAGGAGUUUAACAUGUGCGCGAGUCAUUGGGCGUUACGAAACCCAAAGGCGCAGUGAAGGUAAAGGUUUGGCUU